AAACUCUCCUCAUUUGAAACCCUAGGUAACAAAUGCGCACACCAGACCCCUCUUCCAACUUUCUCUGCAUCUCCUUCUUCUUUGAUGAAACCCUAUCUUUCUCAUUUUCUACAAGACACACACAACAUCAAUCCUGUUAUCUCUCUCGACUGAUCAUACAUAAAGCACAGACAUAAUAUAUGGUUGAUGUCUCUUCUGGAAACCUUAUCAACAUCACCAACACAACCCCCCCCCUUUUCUUCUCCGGUCGGUCGACACCCACAGCCCCCUAAACCACCCCGCAACCCCUCUGUUGCUCGAUACUAAACGGCCGGCCACCACCAUUCGGUGGUGGCGUGCAGCAGCACCAACGCAGGGAACAAAGAGAGAGAAAGGAGGCCGGCGAUGAGCUGGCAAAAGUUACCAGCGCCGCCGCUACGGCGAUGGUGAUGUGAUGAAGAUGAUAUUGAUGUCAACGGAGGUGGUGGGGUUUGGGUGGUGUCACAGCGACGACAACAAUCAACACGGGCCCUGCUCCGAUGUCGGUGAUGACGACGGUAAUCAGGUGGCUCUGACCAAAACUCUGUUAUGAUGGCAGGGGUGUAAGGAAGCACAUGAUUCAAGUUCGGUUCGAUAAGAAGCAGGGUGGUGGCUCGGUUCAGUCUUGACUCGGGUCAACACCGGGUCAACUCGGUCAAUGCUGGUCAACUCAGGUCAACGACUCGGGUCAACACAGUCAAACUCGGCCAGCAAGAGUCAAACCACAGACACGAGUAAUUCGGUUCGGUUUUCGGUGUUCAGUCAAAACUAGGCAACCUCAGAUUCGACUCGGUCAACACCGGGUCAACUCAGUCAAUGCUGGUCAACUCAGGUCAACGAUUCGAGUCAACCGGUCAAACAGGUCAACGACAGUCAACACGAAGGACCCGGUAAAGUUUAAGCGUAGCGAAAUAGUUUACGUUAGAUUUUAUAUAGUUGAACGCGAAACCGAGCUCGACCGAUACCGUUUGUGAUUAGUUACGUUUUAUUUUAUCGUAUUUGAUAAAAUUUUAGUAUAGUGUUUGAAGUG